rnacentral:rRNA from 1 species
UACGUAGGGGGCAAGCGUUGUCCGGAUUUAUUGGGCGUAAAGAGCGCGUAGGCGGCUACCCACGUCGGAUGUGAAAGCUCAGGGCUCAACUCUGAGAUGCCAUUCGAUACGGGGUAGCUAGAGGCAGCUAGGGGAGAAUGGAAUUCCUGGUGUAGCGGUGAAAUGCGCAGAUAUCAGGAGGAACACCGGUGGCGAAGGCGGUUCUCUGGGGCUGUCCUGACGCUGAGGCGCGAAAGCUGGGGGAGCGAACAGG